UAGGGAAUCUUCCACAAUGGACGCAAGUCUGAUGGAGCAACGCCGCGUGAGUGAAGAAGGUCUUCGGAUCGUAAAGCUCUGUUGUUGGUGAAGAAGGAUAGAGGCAGUAACUGGUCUUUAUUUGACGGUAAUCAACCAGAAAGUCACGGCUAACUACGUGCCAGCAGCCGCGGUAAUACGUAGGUGGCAAGCGUUGUCCGGAUUUAUUGGGCGUAAAGCGAGCGCAGGCGGAAUGAUAAGUCUGAUGUGAAAGCCCACGGCUCAACCGUGGAACUGCAUCGGAAACUGUCAUUCUUGAGUGCAGAAGAGGAGAGUGGAACUCCAUGUGUAGCGGUGGAAUGCGUAGAUAUAUGGAAGAACACCAGUGGCGAAGGCGGCUCUCUGGUCUGCAACUGACGCUGAGGCUCGAAAGCAUGGGUAGCGAACAGGAUUAGAUA
rnacentral:rRNA from 1 species